rnacentral:rRNA from 1 species
CAUACAGCUCAGUAACACGUGGCUAAUCUGCCCUUGGGACGAGACUACUCCCGGGAAACUGGGGUUAAUUCUCGAUAGGUGAAGAACACUGGAAUGUGUCUUCACCUAAAAGGUCCUGCGUUAUGCUCGUAGGUAUCGCCUAAGGAUGAGGCCGCGACCGAUCAGGUUGUUGGCGAGGUAAUGGCUCACCAAGCCUUUUACCGGUGCGGGCCGUGGGAGCGGGAGCCCGGAGAUGGGUACUGAGACAAGGACCCAGGCCCUACGGGGCGCAGCAGUCGCGAAAACUUUGCAAUACACGAAAGUGUGACAGGGCUAUCCCGAGUGCCAUCCGCUGAGGAAGGCUUUUACCCAGUCUAGAACGCUGGGGGAAUAAGGAGAGGGCAAGUCUGGUGUCAGCCGCCGCGGUAAUACCAGCUCUUCGAGUGGUGUGGAUGUUUAUUGGGCCUCAACCAUCCGUAGCUGGCUAGGUUAGUCCCUGUGUUCUAUUCCCCCCAUUUACCGUUGG